rnacentral:hammerhead_ribozyme from 1 species
AUCCAACAUACGAGUCCCAAAUAGGACGAAACGCGCGUCCUGAAU